CUGGCGGCGUGCUUAACACAUGCAAGUCGAACGGUGAAGCCCCGCUUGCUGGGUGGAUCAGUGGCGAACGGGUGAGUAACACGUGAGCAACCUGCCCCUGACUCUGGGAUAAGCGCUGGAAACGGCGUCUAAUACUGGAUACGAGACGUGAUCGCAUGGUCAACGUUUGGAAAGAUUUUUCGGUUGGGGAUGGGCUCGCGGCCUAUCAGCUUGUUGGUGAGGUAAUGGCUCACCAAGGCGUCGACGGGUAGCCGGCCUGAGAGGGUGACCGGCCACACUGGGACUGAGACACGGCCCAGACUCCUACGGGAGGCAGCAGUGGGGAAUAUUGCACAAUGGGCGCAAGCCUGAUGCAGCAACGCCGCGUGAGGGAUGACGGCCUUCGGGUUGUAAACCUCUUUUAGCAGGGAAGAAGCGAGAGUGACGGUACCUGCAGAAAAAGCACCGGCUAACUACGUGCCAGCAGCCGCGGUAAUACGUAGGGUGCAAGCGUUAUCCGGAAUUAUUGGGCGUAAAGAGCUCGUAGGCGGUUUGUCGCGUCUGCUGUGAAAUCUGGGGGCUCAACCCCCAGCCUGCAGUGGGUACGGGCAGACUAGAGUGCGGUAGGGGAGAUUGGAAUUCCUGGUGUAGCGGUGGAAUGCGCAGAUAUCAGGAGGAACACCGAUGGCGAAGGCAGAUCUCUGGGCCGUAACUGACGCUGAGGAGCGAAAGGGUGGGGAGCAAACAGGCUUAGAUACCCUGGUAGUCCACCCCGUAAACGUUGGGAACUAGUUGUGGGGUCCAUUCCACGGAUUCCGUGACGCAGCUAACGCAUUAAGUUCCCCGCCUGGGGAGUACGGCCGCAAGGCUAAAACUCAAAGGAAUUGACGGGGACCCGCACAAGCGGCGGAGCAUGCGGAUUAAUUCGAUGCAACGCGAAGAACCUUACCAAGGCUUGACAUAUACGAGAACGGGCCAGAAAUGG
rnacentral:rRNA from 1 species